CAACUAGCUGGUUUACGGGAGGCAAUUAUAGAGCGGGAAGAGUUCUUUUGGCUGAUGAGGCUUUCCUGUCAGUCCGUAUUAGGGUCCGUUCGGGUAAACCAGGUUUUUUUGUUAUAAAUAUAUAUGGCUAAGACAACCUGAGAUCUCAAAAUCACGCGUUACUUUGUAAGAGGCCUGAGCUCAACCCUGUUCGCGCACGUUUGAAAAAAAAAAAACGCAAACGGAAUGGAUUCGAUACGAUGAAUGAUAGAAAAUUAUUUAAAAAGGACACUCGUCCGGUCCGUCCUGUCAUCCGGGUGCAAACUCACAGAAGAUCGGAAAACCAAAAAUUAUACCAGAGCACCCCAGGCGUGGUGGUGCUGGAAAACAGCCCACCUUUUUCAUUGUGUUGCCACCUGUUUAAGUUUCUUCUUCUUCUAUUCAGUAGCUCUAUUACAGGGUGCACACG